rnacentral:lncRNA from 1 species
GGGGAUACAGCUGUGAGAGGCAGACAAGCGGGAAGAAAACUCUUUGAAAAUGGACUUUUAGAAAUCUCUGAGUGGAGUUAUUUUCUGGUACGGACUGUGAAAAGAAUGCGGUGAAAAUUCUGGACAAUCGUGGAAAUAUUAGCUCAAACCCCAACUUAAUAUAGCAUUUCUUCUCUUCAGUAACACCUCAUAAUACAAGAAAAAUGUAUGGAAGUGCAAGAACAAUCACCAAUCUGGAAGGUAGCCCUUCCAGAUCCCCUCGUUUGCCAAGGUCUCCUCGUUUGGGCCACCGAAGAACAAGUAGUGGGGGAGGUGGAGGAACAGGCAAGACUCUGUCUAUGGAGAAUAUCCAGUCCCUCAAUGCAGCCUAUGCUACGUCUGGACCCAUGUAUCUGAGUGAUCAUGAAGGGGUGGCUUCAACAACCUACCCAAAGGGCACUAUGACUCUGGGAAGGGCUACAAAUCGAGCUGUAUAUGGAGGCCGUGUCACAGCCAUGGGGAGUAGUCCCAAUAUUGCUUCUGCUGGACUUUCCCACACAGAUGUCCUUUCAUACACAGAUCAACAUGGUGGGCUGACUGGCUCAUCCCAUCAUCACCACCACCAGGUCCCCUCCAUGUUGAGGCAGGUA